ensembl:lncRNA
CCUGGGUAAAAAGUGGCCGCGCGGCACCGGGAGAGCGCGGAGAGGAGCCAGGGUCAGAGGUCAGGGCCCUGGAGCCCCGCUUGCAGAGCCCCCCACGUGAACGCAGCGAGCAGGAGGAACCUUUUUGUUUUCGACCGCGCCAGCAUGCUCCCCUAUUGACCGAGCUGCUUUUCCCGGGCCGCUGGAGAGAGGAGCUCCAUCCCGGAUCUCCUAACCCCACCCCACCCCCUCCUUCCACCACCAACACACUACCCAACUCUACCCUUCCUCUCAACUCACUUCCCAGCCCCCCGUACCGGCCUUGCAAUAACGCAGUAAAUUUGCUUUAACAACAAGUGGGGGUGGUUGCAUUUACUCCUCCCUCUCCUCUCUCCUCCCCCUCCUCUUGCUGCGGCUCUUGACACUACUACAAACCAGGACUAUAAACAUAAACAUGUGUCACUGUAACUGGGCAGGCUUAGAAAUAUCCGUUUAUUCUUUUAACCACACGGAUGUGUCUAUUUUUGGAAGAACAAGGAAACAUAUAAAUGCCUGGGCCGCAUUCAUGCUGUAGUUCCAAACACCGAACUGUUAAGAAGAUUUUGCCGAAUUUUGCAAAGCAGCCAACAAACUGCCUUGGGAUCGUGGUGAUGCGACUGGGAAGACCUUUGCUCUCAUUUGGCAAUAUUUUGGAUAUCCUUGAAAAUGACACCAAAAUAUGCUUUGACUAAGAAGAGGUUAAACAAUAUUGAUAUUCAUCCAAAGUGAUUAAAAAAAAAAAAAAAGCAGAUGCUUGGCUUUCACGGAAAAAAAUGGGAGUUGUGGAAGAUUCAUUUAAACUACCAACCAAAAGCAUCACAGACCACUGAAAUAGUCUGCAUCAUACAUCAGCACUUUCUUUUCAUCGUUAUUACGUAAAACCUCUGGAAGCACCUUGGGCGGUUUACCUUUUCUUUCCCUUGCUACAGAAGCAAUCCGCUCCAUGGAAUUCUGACCUGUUGUGAACAGGACCCCGGCUAAGGCUGUGCUGGGGACUCUAGGACCAUCCUGCCUCCAAUCCAGCCAGCUUAAUUGUGAAAAGUGUACACAUUUCUGGCUUAUCUAUGCUUUGUUAUGGGUCUGACGUGAAACUACCUCCUCC